rnacentral:lncRNA from 1 species
AAGUCUUGAGGUGAGGUAUCCUCGAGCAAGUUUAAGUCUUGUAGAGCGUACAUCUACGAGCAAGUGUAACGGUUGGUUAGGCACCCGUAAGCUUAACGGAGUUAGUGUAAACUCGAGAGAGUCUCUCGGGAGACUGGACUAACCACACGUUGUGGUGAACCAGUAUAAAUUCGGUGUGUCCUCUCCUUACUCUUUUAAUUA